rnacentral:rRNA from 1 species
CAGCAUGGUCUUAGCUUGCUAAGGCCGAUGACGACCGGCGCACGGGUGAGUAACACGUAUCCAACCUGCCGUCUACUCUUGGACAGCCUUCUGAAAGGAAGAUUAAUACAAGAUGGCAUCAUGAGUCCGCAUGUUCACAUGAUUAAAGGUAUUCCGGUAGACGAUGGGGAUGCGUUCCAUUAGAUAGUAGGCGGGGUAACGGCCCACCUAGUCUUCGAUGGAUAGGGGUUCUGAGAGGAAGGUCCCCCACAUUGGAACUGAGACACGGUCCAAACUCCUACGGGAGGCAGCAGUGAGGAAUAUUGGUCAAUGGGCGAGAGCCUGAACCAGCCAAGUAGCGUGAAGGAUGACUGCCCUAUGGGUUGUAAACUUCUUUUAUAAAGGAAUAAAGUCGGGUAUGGAUACCCGUUUGCAUGUACUUUAUGAAUAAGGAUCGGCUAACUCCGUGCCAGCAGCCGCGGUAACACGGAGGAUCCGAGCGUUAUCCGGAUUUAUUGGGUUUAAAGGGAGCGUAGAUGGAUGUUUAAGUCAGUUGUGAAAGUUUGCGGCUCAACCGUAAAAUUGCAGUUGAUACUGGAUAUCUUGAGUGCAGUUGAGGCAGGCGGAAUUCGUGGUGUAGCGGUGAAAUGCUUAGAUAUCACGAGGAACUCCGAUUGCGAAGGCAGCCUGCUAAGCUGCAACUGACAUUGAGGCUCGAAAGUGUGGGUAUCAAACAGGAUUAGAUACCCUGGUAGUCCACACGGUAAACGAUGAAUACUCGCUGUUUGCGAUAUACAGCAAGCGGCCAAGCGAAAGCGUUA